CAGUAGCCACGGUAAUGCGGAGGGGGCUAGCGUUGUUCGGAAUUACUGGGCGUAAAGCGCACGCAGGCGGUUCGUUAAGACAGAUGUGUAAUCCCCGGGCUUGACCUGGGAACUGCAUUUGUGACUGGCGGGCUAGAGUAUGGCAGAGGGGGGUAGAAUUCCACGUGUAGCAGUGAAAUGCGUAGAGAUGUGGAGGAAUACCGAUGGCGAAGGCAGCCCCCUGGGCCAAUACUGACGCUCAUGCACGAAAGCGUGGGGAGCAAACAGGAUUAGAUACCCCCGUAGUCCCUGUCUCUUAUAA
rnacentral:rRNA from 1 species